UACGGGGGGGGCAAGCGUUGUUCGGAAUUACUGGGCGUAAAGGGUUCGUAGGUGGCCAACUAAGUCAGACGUGAAAUCCCUCAGCUUAACUGGGGAACUGCGUCUGAUACUGGUUGGCUUGAGUGCAGGAGAGGAACGCGGAAUUCCAGGUGUAGCGGUGAAAUGCGUAGAUAUCUGGAGGAACACCGGUGGCGAAGGCGGUUCUCUGGGAAUGUCCUGACGUUGAGGAGCGAAAGUGUGGGGAGCGAACAGG
rnacentral:rRNA from 1 species